AGACCAAUCCUUUUUCCUUCUCAAAAUACUUUGUUCACAGUGGGCAGUCAGACAUUUUUUGGCUUCCAAGCCCUUUAUUGAGCAUGUUCAGAGAAUUCCCCUCAUUAAGAAAAUAUCUUUCUUUCCGCUCUCUCUUCGGUCGUCUGAUGUAUACAUCCUCCCAGAAGCACAAGUGCAUCCUAGGAGGGCUUUGUAAGCUGGUUUUAUAGGUAGGCUAUUCCUGCAAAUAGUUUUGUGCAAGGAUCCUAAAUUUCCCUUUGGCUCAUGUUUUAUUCCCUUUUUUUCAACAUGUCUAAUGAAAAGCCACAAAGGCCAGAGGGCCAAAUAUUCUUCAUUUUUCCCUCUUUAAACAUGCUGUCCAUUUAGAUAUGAGGGAGCAAUUUCAGUUCCUAAAUCUUAGGGAGUUCUAUUCCAUUUAUUCUGAUGUCCCUUUUGGGGAGGAGUUGAUGUUGAGGCAUGACUUGCUUUCCUAACAACUGCUUCAGGCAUGUCCUUGAGCAGGUGAACGUCUUCAUGCAAUGUAAAGGGUUUAAUUUGCAUUGAUUGAUUGCUUUUCCCCCAAUGUGGGAAUUUACUAUAUAUAAGGAAUAGGAAGAAGGGAGCCAUGCUCUGUAGACUCUCUUUUUUCUUUUCUCUAUACUGACUAGUCUAUGAGCCUGUUCAGAAUGAAACUUACCAUGCCUUCUCUCAAAGCCAUAUCACUAACACCACUUGGGAACUUGUUAGAAAUGGUAAUUAGCUGUCCUUACUCAGACCAACUGGAGCAGAAACUCUGGGGGAUCUAGCAAUCCAUAUGGAUCAGAUGCCCAGUAAAAGUUGAGGGCUUGUUAAAGCACAGAUUGAUGGGCCCCACACUUUGAGUUUCGGGUUCAAUAGGUCUAGGGUGGGGCCUGAGUCUUCGCCUACUUCAACAUUCCCAGUUGAUACUGAUGCAGCUGGUUCAGAGGCUGCACCUUGAGUAUCGCUACUCCAGUGUAAACCUGCCUAAGGUGCCCGUUUCAACUCAUUCAUCACCACGGUGUCCCACUGAUGACUAACCAAAAAUGUUAACAGAAUACAACUUAGAUCUCUGAAAAUUGGAAACCACCCAGAAUACCAUCCCAAUAGUGUUACCUCAGCAUACAACUGAAUGUUUGACAGGAAUUCAGUUGAACUUUUCAUAUAGUUCUGUUCUAUAAAUAAGCAAAACAGAAGUGGUCCAUUUGAAGCAGUAAUAACCAAGGGCAGUUUUGGGAGAGGCAGGGGUGUAGUGAUGGCUUGAUUGGGCAUCCAGGGUGGGAAAAAGAUUAUUCUUGUACAUAAUAGAAAUUCUGGCUGGAAUUCCAAUUCACUUAUGGGGAUCAUUUUGCUGUGGAAUGUUUCCCCAAAGCAUCCUGACAAGUCUGGUCUACUUGGCUCUUUACCUAGGGUAAUAAGACCCUAACUGACUUUGAAAAACUAGCAUAAAUGAGCUUAAGAAGUCCAUUGUAUACAGUCCUAGUGUUUGCCUUCUUGGUAAAAUUACAUUUAAGGAUGUCAUUUCAUGAGUCAAAUUGUAUCUGCUGACACUGAAGUGUAUUGAGAUGUUGUUCUUUAGUUUAAGUAUGUAACAAAGUAAUAUUCAAAGGGGAUGUGUGGGGGUGGGGCUGGGACCGGGUGGCUUUAUAUUGAUAAUGAAAUAUUCCAGAGCAAAACACAUUGUCCUAAUGAAGUUGUUGCAGCUCUCUUUGUUUUCUUGUGAAGCUGGAAUUGGCCUGUGGGUCACAUGUUGUGCAAAAGUGAAUUAAUUUCCAAUAGAACUCAUAUUGCUUUUGUCAAAUGAAUAAAAAUCAACCACCUUGUCUGAAAUAUAUAUUGUAAGGCGCUCUUGGUAAAGAACAACCCACGAAAACCUGAUCUUGAUUGGAAAGCACUGUAGGUCAUUAGGGAAAACUGAUAAUGCUGAUUGUUGCUCCAGCUGUGUUGGCAAUUAAAGAUGACCUUGUUACUAACUGCAAGUUGCUGUCAACCUUAGCAAACAAACCAGCUAACACCCUUACAGCACUGGUUAAGUAGAUUUUUACUGGCGUUCAGCUGAGGAAGGCUAGGAUACAGACUUUAAUGACCAAGAGCCAGACUAGCUUGAGCUAGAAAUUCAGCAACAAAUACCUCCUUGUGCUAUUUGAAUGCUAAGGUAUUAGUUGCAAAAGGCUUACGCCUUCGCUCCUCUAGUGAGGGGAAUGAGCCUGAUGACACUAUUACUGUUUACCUGUCAAACCAGGGUGGAAAUUUAGAGGGAUGCAAGUAUAGUACGUCUCAUUAAGCAGUCUCUGUUGCUGACUAUAUGAAGAUGAAAUUGUUGUAUAUGCUGAUCUGUAUGUUAUGUACAUUUUCACAGUGAUUGAGUCAUUGUAAAAAGAAAAAAAAAA
rnacentral:lncRNA from 1 species